rnacentral:rRNA from 1 species
AGCGAACGCUGGCGGCAGGCUUAACACAUGCAAGUCGAGCGGGCGUAGCAAUACGUCAGCGGCAGACGGGUGAGUAACACGUGGGAACGUACCCUUUGGUUCGGAACAACUCCGGGAAACUGGAGCUAAUACCGGAUAAGCCCUUCGGGGAAGGAUUAUUGCCAAAGGAUCGGCCCGCGUCUGAUUAGCUAGUUGGUGAGGUAACGGCUCACCAAGGCGACGAUCAGUAGCUGGUCNGAGAGGAUGAUCAGCCACACUGGGACUGAGACACGGCCCAGACUCCUACGGGAGGCAGCAGUGGGGAAUAUUGGACAAUGGGCGAAAGCCUGAUCCAGCCAUGCCGCGUGAGUGAUGAAGGCCCUAGGGUUGUAAAGCUCUUUCGGCGGGGACGAUAAUGACGGUACCCGCAGAAGAAGCCCCCGGCUAACUUCGUGCCAG